CACAAAUAUGAAAGCAGACCCUCAUUGGGGCGUAACGUCACGUGCCGCAAUAGCGUCAUGCUGUGUGCUACGGCAAUAGGGCGGGUCAUUGCUGGUUGGUGGCUGGUACGGUCUGGCGGUGGGGGUAACGCCCUUUUGGGCCAGUCUGACUCCAUAUUCACCCAUGUCUUUUGCGUACUACUUGUUUCCUUGGCGGGUUCGCCCGCCAAUUGGACCCAAUUAAACCUUUUUUGUAAUUGCAAUCAGCUGUCAGCAAAACAAUGUAAUAAAUUA
rnacentral:misc_RNA from 1 species